GGACGGUCUACAACCAAACAUCAAGCUGUGGGAUCAUUUUGACUCCAUGUAAAAGGAGAAAACCAGAUACGUGGCUCUUUGAAAACAAAAUUAAACCCAAACUGUUCAUCCUUUGACCAAGCAGAUAUGAAGCUGAUCCUUUUCCUUCUCGUUCUGUUGGGCAAGUGUUGUUUCAUGGACUGUCAGCUCUAUCAGUUUCACUACAUUAAUCAGAAUAAAACCUGGACUGAAGCUCAGCAGUACUGCAGACAGAAACACACUGACCUGGUCACAGUGACUAACAUGAAGGACAUGGAGAGACUCAUCAAUGUCUCAGCUGGAUAUCAGAGGGAAGCUUGGAUUGGUCUGUCUAAUCAAAUAAAAGCAAAUAGAACAUGGUACUGGUCUCUGCCUGGAGUGGAGUUCAAUGAAAGUGAGAAAAACUGGUAUCCAGGAGAACCAAGUGAUACAGGAACUGAAAACUGUGGGUUUAUUUUCAAAGAUCUAACAUGGGGCGACAUCUCUUGCAACGAGAAGAAUUACUUUCUCUGCUAUAAUGGUAAGAUUGUUUUGUGUCAUAAAUUGGUCUUGUUUUUGCCUUUUUAAAAGAAAUAUAUAAAAAAGAAAUACAACCAUAAAAAUGUUCCCACUUUUAAGCCCACUGUGGAAAGUGUGAGUUUAAAAGUCCACAGUUGGAAAUGUUUGCCUGCAGCCAGAGGAGGCGAUAUCAAAACUUUAUUUAAACUGGUAUCUAAGGACAGCAGUAAAACUCUUAUCAAUGCUGGUGGUAACGACACCUGGCUUACAGUGACUGACAGUAACUACAAUUAGAGUUGCUUCAGUGUGUAAGUUUAUUAAAACAGCAGCAGAUUGUGUCAUUUUCUCUGGUCCCCUGUGGCAUCAUGCUGUCAUUCCACCACUGGUUGUCCAGGUGGGUCCAGAAAACACAUUGAGCUACUUUGUUUAUUGGUGAACAUUUCAGAGGAAACCUGAUCUGAUCCUGAGAGACGCCGUUCAUCCCACUUUGGAUGAAAUAGCUUCUCUAGUUUUUUUUUUAAUUAUUUUAAAUUUUGCUGAAUUUCUUAGUUCUCCAAAAAUGCUGAGAUGUGAGAAUCCAAACCAGGAAGCAGAGUUGCAGGUGGAGGAAGAUUUCCAAUAGAUAUCAAUGAGGUUUAUGUCUCUAAUAUUAGAUCUCCUCAUUGAGGAGGAGCUCCCAUCUUCAGUCUAAGACACCCUGUCAACUUUCAAAACUCGGCUUAAAACUUUAGACUAAAGCUUAAGUUAUCCUGAUCUAUCUCUGUAGCUGUGCUGCUAAAGGAUUUGGCUGAUGUAGGGCAACCUGGACACUUUUAUAAAGCUUAGAUUUUAAUUUUGUUUUUCUUGGGGUUUUGAAACUGUCCUUGACUUUUAGCACAUCCUGCUCUCAUUGACUGUCUCUCCACAGAAACAAAAACUUCAGAUAAAGUCUGUCUGAUAAAGAAAACUAAGACCUGGCUGGAAGCUCAGAGUUACUGCAGAAAGGAGCACACAGACCUGAGACACCUGGAGGUGGUCAGAUGGAACCAGUUUCUCUUUCAGACACUGGAAUCUACAGUUUAAUGAUGAACAAGACAACAGUGGUCAAUGUGCCCUGGUUGAAUUCAGUGAUGAAGGCAGAUGGAAGAAUGUGAACUGUACUGAAAGAAAACCUUUCAUCUGUUAUGAUGAUAAAGUGAUCCUGAUCAAAGAAAACAAAACCUGGCUUGAGGCCUUGACCUACUGCAGAGAUCAUCAUGAUGACCUGGUCACCAUCACCAACAUGGAUGAUCAGAUAUUGAUCCAGAAGAAAGCUAAGGAGGCAUCGACUCCUUUUGUCUGGUUGGGUUUGUACUUCAGCUGCUUGAAGAAUAAGUGGUUCUGGGUCUGUAAGAACAAUCCAAACUUAGAAAGACGGAUCAAUAAUUGUGGAAAAUCUGGAGCCAUGGAGGCAGGAGGAAAACACAUGUGGUUCCAAGGAAACAGCACAGAGAAGUUGAAUUUCUUCUGUCUUAAGCGUUAAGUUGUUCUUUUCCUGUUUGCUCUUUUUAAAAAUAGUUUAAGAACUUCGUUGAAGUUUACAUUUUAUUUCACCUAUGAUAAAAAAUGACGGCUAGUAGAGAUUCAAACUCGAGGUUCUGCUCUGAACUUUGUUUCUGUUCAGUUUGUAAUUAGCUUGUACAUGAGAACAUUUUUCUUCCUUUACUCCAGUUUUAUUUUACUGAAGACAAAAUGGCUCUUUGUGUUGUAAAGGUUGCAGAUCUCUGCUUUAUACUGAAAGCAAAUAUGAUGUUCAAAUUUAAUGCUAUUAAAUACUGAGGAAUUAUAUGUAAACUUCUCAUUUUGAACACAUUAAUAAAUACAUUUCUAAUGUUCUCUUUCUGUCAUUAUUUUUAACAUUUAGCAAAUUGAAGCAAUGUUGCUCAUUUUAACUGAUGUAAAACAAGAAACUGAUUAAACUUUAGACAAUGAGAAAA